ensembl:miRNA MIR643 microRNA 643
ACCAAGUGAUAUUCAUUGUGUACCUGAGCUAGAAUACAAGUGGUUGGCGUCUUCAGAGACACUUGUAUGCUAGCUCAGGUAGAUAUUGAAUGAAAAA